rnacentral:rRNA from 1 species
AACUCGGCCAUUUAGAGGAAGUACAAGUCGUAACAAGGUUUCCGUAGGUGAACCUGCGGAAGGAUCAUAGUAAUCGUCUUCGACGUUCUAUCUCCAUCGUCCUCAGGACGUUAAGGCGCUCUGGUCGAGGAUAAACGACCCCUCUGACCGAGGUUAAACGGUCGCUUCCCUGUGUUACCUCUUUGGAGGCACACGUUAAAGAUCGUUCCGCGUUGUGAGUCUAACACCAGUUGUAAACUUUCUACAACCGGCAGCGCUGGAUCCCUUGGCACGUCAUUCGAUGAAGACCGUUGCAAAUUGCGAUAAAGUGAUGUGAUGCGCAAGUCCACCACUUAUACGUGAAUCAUCGAGUUGUUGAACGCAUUGCACCGCGCCCUAAUCCGGCUGCGGUAUGCCCCUUUGAGCGCCAUUGUAUUCCUUCGGGAGUCUUUCCUUGCUGAAAGACCCGAGCUCGGAGUCCUCGGUCCUUUGGAUCGUGUUCUCUCAGAUGCGUCGCGCCGAUCGCCUGAUGGGUACUCUAAUGCCUGAGCGUGGAGUCCCUUUGAGCUUGAGACGCGCUUGACCGGCCGUUGGGCUCGCGUCACCAAGUCCGCGUCCUUCUGGACGUCGGUACUACAACGCAUGACCCCAUUGGGGUAGGACAACCCGCUAGACUUAAGCAUAUUAAUCAGCGGAGGAAAAGAAACUAACCAGGAUUCCCCUAGUAACUGCGAGUGAAGCGGGACCCGCUCAAUGUGUGAAUCUGGCGG